rnacentral:tRNA from 1 species
AGGGGUAUAGUUCAGUGGUAGAACAUUGGUCUCCAAAACCAAGUGUCGUGGGUUCAAGUCCUGCUACCCCUGCCA